rnacentral:rRNA from 1 species
UACGGAGGGGGCUAGCGUUGUUCGGAAUUACUGGGCGUAAAGCGCACGUAGGCGGCUUUGUAAGUUAGAGGUGAAAGCCCGGGGCUCAACUCCGGAAUUGCCUUUAAGACUGCAUCGCUAGAAUUGUGGAGAGGUAAGUGGAAUUCCGAGUGUAGAGGUGAAAUUCGUAGAUAUUCGGAAGAACACCAGUGGCGAAGGCGGCUGUCUGGUCCGGUUCUGACGCUGAGGCGCGAAAGCGUGGGGAGCAAACAGG